CCUGAUGCAGCCAUGCCGCGUGUGUGAAGAAGGCCUUCGGGUUGUAAAGCACUUUCAGUCGUGAGGAAGGUAGUGUAGUUAAUAGCUGCAUUAUUUGACGUUAGCGACAGAAGAAGCACCGGCUAACUCCGUGCCAGCAGCCGCGGUAAUACGGAGGGUGCGAGCGUUAAUCGGAAUUACUGGGCGUAAAGCGCAUGCAGGUGGUUUGUUAAGUCAGAUGUGAAAGCCCGGGGCUCAACCUCGGAAUAGCAUUUGAAACUGGCAGACUAGAGUACUGUAGAGGGGGGUAGAAUUUCAGGUGUAGCGGUGAAAUGCGUAGAGAUCUGAAGGAAUACCGGUGGCGAAGGCGGCCCCCUGGACAGAUACUGACACUCAGAUGCGAAAGCGUGGGGAGCAAACAGGAUUAGAUACCCUGGUAGUCCACGCCGUAAACGAUGUCUACUUGGAGGUUGUGGCCUUGAGCCGUGGCUUUCGGAGCUAACGCGUUAAGUAGACCGCCUGGGGA
rnacentral:rRNA from 1 species